AUGGCACAAAUUCCACCGGAGACUAGGGUGAUCUAUGAGAUGGUGCGUACCGACUUUGAUCUGGCUCUCGACAAGAGCCUCCGCGACCGCGCCGAUUCCACCGCGCAAGCUAUCCUGAAGCUUGACGCCAAACUAGAGCAACUAUCUAGUCGGAUCGAUGAGGUCAGACUAUCCAUUGGGGUUAAUCUGGACGAGUUCCGUACCGAUUUAGAUCGCGCCUCGCCUCCCGUUGAUUUAAGCAAGGGCACCUCGACUACUUCUUCAAGCGCAUCUGGAGGCGUUUCUUCUGGUUCUAAAGGAUUUCAUUCUGACAACUAG
rnacentral:rRNA from 1 species